UGGCCGCAGGCUGCACGGCUCAGCACACUCAAUUCCUUUCUUCGUGUGUUUUCCCCAGCAGCCUCCCCAGGAGCCCUGUGGCCAUGACACAGCUGCUUCUGUUCAUUGUGAUUCUCCUGGUCCUGGGUCAUGUGCCACCAGGGAGAAGUGAAUUCAAACGGUGCUGGAAUGGCCAAGGGGCCUGCCGAACGUACUGUAUGAGGCAAGAAUCCUACAUGCACCUGUGCCCGGAUGCCUCCCUGUGCUGUCUCGCCUAUGCACUCAAGCCUCCGCCGCCACCCAAGGCUGAAUAUGCGUAGCUGGUUCUAGGGCUGGCACCCUUGUUCUUCAAUAAAACACGUGCUGCCA